GAAGGGGGCUAGCGUUGCUCGGAAUUACUGGGCGUAAAGGGCGCGUAGGCGGACAGUUUAGUCGGGGGUGAAAGCCCGGGGCUCAACCCCGGAACUGCCUUCGAUACUGGCUGUCUUGAGUUCGGGAGAGGUGAGUGGAAUGCCGAGUGUAGAGGUGAAAUUCGUAGAUAUUCGGCGGAACACCAGUGGCGAAGGCGACUCACUGGCCCGAUACUGACGCUGAUGCGCGAAAGCGUGGGGAGCAAACAGGAUUAGAUACCCUGGUAGUCCACGCCGUAAACGAUGAGUGCUAGUUGUCGGCAUGCAUGCAUGUCGGUGACGCAGCUAACGCAUUAAGCACUCCGCCUGGGGAGUACGGUCGCAAGAUUA
rnacentral:rRNA from 1 species